UACGGAGGGGGCGAGCGUUGUCCGAAUUUAUUGGGCGUAAAGCGCGUGUAGGCGGAGAUUCAAGCCUGGGGUGAAAGGUUGGGGCUCAACCCCAACAGGGCCCUGGGGACUGGAUCUCUGGAGGCAGGCAGAGGAGUGUGGAAUUCCUGGUGUAGCGGUGGAAUGCGUAGAGAUCAGGAAGAACACCCGUGGCGAAGGCGGCACUCUGGGCCUGUACUGACGCUGAGACGCGAAAGCGUGGGGAGCGAACGGG
rnacentral:rRNA from 1 species